rnacentral:rRNA from 1 species
ACGGCGCACGGGUGCGUAACACGUGGGCAAUCUGCCCUUCGAUGGGGAAUAACUCCGGGAAACCGAAGCUAAUUCCGCAUAACAUUCCUUGGACUUCGGUUCGAGGACUCAAAGCCGUAAGGCGUCGAAGGAGGAGCCCGCGCACGAUUAGCUAGUUGGUAGGGUAACGGCCUACCAGGGCUUUGAUCGUUAGCUGGUCUGAGAGGAUGGCCAGCCACACUGGAACUGAGACACGGUCCAGACUCCUACGGGAGGCAGCAGUGGGGAAUCUUGCACAAUGGGCGAAAGCCUGAUGCAGCGACGCCGCGUGGGGGAUGAAGCAUUUCGGUGUGUAAACCCCUUUCGACCCGGACGAAUACCUCGCAAGAGGGGUGACGGUACGGGUAUAGAAGCCCCGGCUAACUACGUGCCAGCAGCCGCGGUAAGACGUAGGGGGCCAGCGUUGUUCGGAAUUACUGGGUGUAAAGGGUUCGUAGGCGGUGUGGCAAGUUGGGAGUGAAAUCUCUGGGCUCAACCCAGAGGCUGCUUCCAAAACUGCCGUGCUUGAGUGUGGGAGAGGCGCGUGGAAUUGCAGGUGUAGCGGUGAAAUGCGUAGAUAUCUGCAGGAACACCCGUGGCGAAAGCGGCGCGCUGGACCACAACUGACGCUGAGGAACGAAAGCUAGGGGAGCAAACAGGAUUAGAUACCCUGGUAGUCCUAGCCCUAAACGAUCAGGACUUGGGGCGCCGCACGUUCGUGCGUCGUCCCGGAGCUAACGCGUUAAGUCCUGCACCUGGGGAGUACGGUCGCAAGACUGAAACUCAAAGGAAUUGACGGGGGCCCGCACAAGCGGUGGAACAUGUGGUUCAAUUCGACGCUACGCGAGGAACCUUACCUGGGCUCGAAGCGCACCUGACUAGCUGUAGAAAUACGGCCUUCUCGCAAGAGACAGGUGUGGAGGCGCUGCAUGGCUGUCGUCAGCUCGUGCCGUGAGGUGUUGGGUUAAGUCCCGCAACGAGCGCAACCCCUGCACGUAGUUGCCACUCCGCAAGGAGGGAACU